GUGCUCGCUUCAGCAGCACAUAUCUAAAAUUGGAACGAUGCACAGAAGAUUAACAUGGCCCCUGCACAAGCAAAUUCGUGAAUCGUUUCAUAUUUUU
rnacentral:snRNA from 1 species